UGGGGAAUAUUGGACAAUGGGCGGAAGCCUGAUCCAGCAACGCCGCGUGAGGGAUGACGGCCUUCGGGUUGUAAACCUCUUUCAGCGGGGACGAAGCGCAAGUGACGGUACCCGCAGAAGAAGCACCGGCCAACUACGUGCCAGCAGCCGCGGUAAUACGUAGGGUGCGAGCGUUGUCCGGAAUUAUUGGGCGUAAAGGGCUCGUAGGCGGUUUGUCGCGUCGGGAGUGAAAACGCCGGGCUUAACUCGGUGCUUGCUUUCGAUACGGGCAGACUAGAGGCAUGCAGGGGAGAACGGAAUUCCUGGUGUAGCGGUGAAAUGCGCAGAUAUCAGGAGGAACACCGGUGGCGAAGGCGGUUCUCUGGGCAUGUCCUGACGCUGAGGAGCGAAAGUGUGGGGAGCGAGCAGGAUUAGAUACCCUGGUAGGUCCACACCGUAAACGUUGGGCGCUAGGUGUGGGAUCCAUUCCACGGGGUUCCGUGCCGCAGCUAACGCAUUAAGCGCCCCGCCUGGGGAGUA
rnacentral:rRNA from 1 species